AGCAGCCGCGGUAAUUCCAGCUCCAAUAGCGUAUAUUAAAGUUGUUGCAGUUAAAAAGCUCGUAGUUGAAUUUCGGGGCCAGUAAGUUGGUCGUGCCACUGGUAUGUACUGGCUUUACUGAUUCCUCCUUCUUGUAGAACCGUAAUGCCAUUAAGUUGGUGUUGCGGGAAAACAGGACUGUUACUUUGAAAAAAUUAGAGUGUUUAAAGCAAGCUAACGCUUGAAUACAUUAGCAUGGAAUAAUGAAAUAGGACGUUCGAUCCUAUUUUGUUGGUUUCUAGGAUUGACGUAAUGAUUAAUAGGGAUAGUUGGGGGCAUUAGUAUUCAAUUGUCAGAGGUGAAAUUCUUGGAUUUAUUGAAGACUAACUACUGCGAAAGCAUUUGCCAAGGAUGUUUUCAUUAAUCAAGAACGAAAGUUAGGGGAUCGAAGACGAUCAGAUACCGUCGUAGUCUUAACCAUAAACUAUGCCGACUAGGAAUCAGACGAUGUUAAUUUUUUAAUGACUCGUUUGGCACCUUA
rnacentral:rRNA from 1 species